AGCUUUCCGAAUCCGUGCUGAAAUUUCGUCAGACAUCAACCUAUUAUGACUGAUCAGACUUCCAAGAUAAGUGAAGUU
rnacentral:pre_miRNA from 1 species